rnacentral:rRNA from 1 species
GACGAACGCUGGCGGCGUGCCUAAUACAUGCAAGUCGAGCGGACUUUCAAGAAGCUUGCUUUUUGAAAGUUAGCGGCGGACGGGUGAGUAACACGUGGGCAACCUGCCUGUAAGACGGGGAUAACUCCGGGAAACCGGGGCUAAUACCGGAUAAUAUCUUUCUUCGCAUGAAGGAAGGUUGACAGGCGGCGCAAGCUGCCGCUUGCAGAUGGGCUCGGGGCGCAUUAGCUAGUUGGUGAGGUAACGGCUCACCAAGGCGACGAUGCGUAGCCGACCUGAGAGGGUGAUCGGCCACACUGGGACUGAGACACGGCCCAGACUCCUACGGGAGGCAGCAGUAGGGAAUCUUCCGCAAUGGACGAAAGUCUGACGGAGCAACGCCGCGUGAGCGAAGAAGGUCUUCGGAUCGUAAAGUUCUGUUGUCAGGGAAGAACAAGUACCGUUCGAAUAGGGCGGUACCUUGACGGUACCUGACCAGAAAGCCACGGCUAACUACGUGCCAGCCGCCGCGGUAA